UACGAGGGGGGCGAGCGUUGUUCGGAAUUAUUGGGCGUAAAGGGCGCGUAGGCGGUGCGGUAAGUCACCUGUGAAAUCUCCGGGCUCAACUCGGAGCCUGCAGGCGAAACUGCCGUGCUAGAGGGUGGGAGAGGUGCGUGGAAUUCCCGGUGUAGCGGUGAAAUGCGUAGAUAUCGGGAGGAACAUCAGUGGCGAAAGCGGCUUCCUGGUCCAGUACCGACGUUCAGGCACGAAAGCGUGGGGAGCAAACAGG
rnacentral:rRNA from 1 species